rnacentral:sRNA from 1 species
ACUCAGCGUAAACACAUCUGGAGGGGUGCAGACAAUCCUGAUGCCUGUGAAUAAAGUGGUUCAGUCAUUUUCUACCAGCAAGCCACCUGCCAUUCUGCCUAUAGCUGCCCCAACUCCAGUUGUCCCCAGCUCUGCUCCAGCAGCUGUUGCAAAAGUGAAGACCGAACCAGAAACACCUGGGCCAAGCUGCCUCUCUCAGGAGGGUCAGACAGCAGUGAAAACAGAAGAAAGUUCUGAGCUGGGAAACUAUGUCAUUAAGAUAGACCAUUUAGAGACUAUCCAGCAACUCCUAACCGCAGUAGUAAAGAAGAUUCCAUUAAUCACUGCAAAAAGUAAGACAAUUACACUGAAUAUAGGGGUGCAUUUUUGAAAGCUGUGAACUUAAGGUAUUGAGUCAACUGAAAUCACUUGGGAUUAUAAAUUAAUAUUGAUAUGGCAGUUACCUUAUAAGGUUUCAGCUAGAGAUACAGCUCAUUUGCAAGGGUUUUAGAAUUCA